rnacentral:rRNA from 1 species
CGGCGGACGGGUGAGUAAUGCUUAGGAAUCUGCCAUUUAGUGGGGGACAACAUCUCGAAAGGGAUGCUAAUACCGCAUACGCCCUACGGGGGAAAGCAGGGGAUCACUUGUGACCCUGCGUUAAUAGAUGAGCCUAAGUCGGAUUAGCUAGUUGGUGGGGUAAAGGCCUACCAAGGCGACGAUCUGUAGCGGGUCUGAGAGGAUGAUCCGCCACACUGGGACUGAGACACGGCCCAGACUCCUACGGGAGGCAGCAGUGGGGAAUAUUGGACAAUGGGGGGAACCCUGAUCCAGCCAUGCCGCGUGUGUGAAGAAGGCCUUAUGGUUGUAAAGCACUUUAAGCGAGGAGGAGGCUCUCUUGGUUAAUACCCAAGAUGAGUGGACGUUACUCGCAGAAUAAGCACCGGCUAACUCUGUGCCAGCAGCCGCGGUAAUACAGAGGGUGCGAGCGUUAAUCGGAUUUACUGGGCGUAAAGCGUGCGUAGGCGGCUUUUUAAGUCGGAUGUGAAAUCCCCGAGCUUAACUUGGGAAUUGCAUUCGAUACUGGGAAGCUAGAGUAUGGGAGAGGAUGGUAGAAUUCCAGGUGUAGCGGUGAAAUGCGUAGAGAUCUGGAGGAAUACCGAUGGCGAAGGCAGCCAUCUGGCCUAAUACUGACGCUGAGGUACGAAAGCAUGGGGAGCAAACAGGAUUAGAUACCCUGGUAGUCCAUGCCGUANACGAUGUCUACUAGCCGUUGGGGCCUUUGAGGCUUUAGUGGCGCAGCUAACGCGAUAAGUAGACCGCCUGGGGAGUACGGUCGCAAGACUAAAACUCAAAUGAAUUGACGGGGGCCCGCACAAGCGGUGGAGCAUGUGGUUUAAUUCGAUGCAACGCGAAGAACCUUACCUGGUCUUGACAUAGUAAGAACUUUCCAGAGAUGGAUUGGUGCCUUCGGGAACUUACAUACAGGUGCUGCAUGGCUGUCGUCAGCUCGUGUCGUGAGAUGUUGGGUUAAGUCCCGCAACGAGCGCAACCCUUUUCCUUAUUUGCCAGCACUUCGGGUGGGAACUUUAAGGAUACUGCCAGUGACAAACUGGAGGAAGGCGGGGACGACGUCAAGUCAUCAUGGCCCUUACGACCAGGGCUACACACGUGCUACAAUGGUCGGUACAAAGGGUUGCUACCUAGCGAUAGGAUGCUAAUCUCAAAAAGCCGAUCGUAGUCCGGAUUGGAGUCUGCAACUCGAC